rnacentral:rRNA from 1 species
UGCAAGUCGAGCGAGAAAGCAUCUUCGGAUGUGAGUAAAGUGGCGGACGGGUGAGUAAUACAUAGGAAUCUACCCAAUGGAGGGGGAUAGCUCGAGGAAACUCGAAUUAAUACCGCAUAAUCUCUAUGGAGUAAAGGGGGCUUCGGCUCUCGCCAUCGGAUGAGCCUAUGCAAGAUUAGCUUGUUGGUAGGGUAAUGGCCUACCAAGGCAACGAUCUUUAGCUGGUUUGAGAGGAUGACCAGCCACAUCGGGACUGAGACACGGCCCGGACUUCUACGGAAGGCAGCAGUAGGGAAUAUUGGACAAUGAGCGAAAGCUUGAUCCAGCUAUGCCGCGUGUGCGAUGACGGCCCUCGGGUUGUAAAGCACUUUAGGUAACGAGGAAAAGUUAGGUGUUAAUACCAUCUAACCAUGACGUUAAUUACAGAAUAAGCACCGGCUAAAUCCGUGCCAGCAGCCGCGGUAAUACGGAUGGUGCAAGCGUUAAUCGGAAUUACUGGGCGUAAAGCGCGCGUAGGUGGCAUACUAAGUUAGAUGUGAAAUCCCGGGGCUUAACCUCGGAACUGCAUCUAAAACUGGUAAGCUAGAGUACUAGAGAGGAAAGUAGAAUUCUUAGUGUAGCGGUGGAAUGCGUAGAUAUUAAGAGGAAUACCAAUGGCGAAGGCAACUUUCUGGAUAGAUACUGACACUGAGGUGCGAAAGCGUGGGGAGCAAACA